ACCCUGGUGGCACAGUGGUUAAAUGCGUGUACUGCCGCUAAAAGGUUGCAAGUUCAAUACUAGCCAGGGGUC